UACGAAGGGUGCAAACGUUGCUCGGAAUUAUUGGGCGUAAAGCGCACGUAGGCGGCUUGGCAAGUCGGAUGUGAAAUCCCUCGGCUCAACCAAGGAAGUGCAUCCGAAACUGCCGAGCUUGAGUACUUAAGAGGAUCGCGGAAUUCCCGGUGUAGAGGUGAAAUUCGUAGAUAUCGGGAGGAACAUCAGUGGCGAAAGCGACUUCCUGGACCAGUACCGACGUUCAGGCACGAAAGCGUGGGGAGCAAACAGG
rnacentral:rRNA from 1 species